AAUAAUUUAUUUGAUGGUUUCUUGCUACAUGGAUAACUGUAGUAAUUCUAGAGCUAAUACAUGCGUAAAGUCUCGACUCUCACGGGGAGGGAUGCAUUUAUUAGAUAAAAAACCAAUGCGGCCUCUGGUCGGUUAUUUGGUGAAUCAUAGUAACUUUUCGAAUCGCAUGGCUUCACGCCGGCGAUAGUUCAUUCAAAUUUCUGCCCUAUCAGCUUUCGACGGUAGUGUAGUGGACUACCGUGGCUUUAACGGGUAACGGAGAAUCAGGGUUCGAUUCCGGAGAGGGAGCCUGAGAAACGGCUACCACA
rnacentral:rRNA from 1 species